CCCACAGAGAAGGGAGGGGCCCAAAGUCCCACCCUUUGUCAGUGUCAGAGCCAGCACUAGAAGCUGAGUCUGUAAGAGCCCAAUGGAGGCUUAAGGAAAGGAGCUCAAUGAAGCUGAGGAGUUUCUAUCCUCCUCUGAGCCAGUCUUCCAGUCACUUCUCCAAGUCAGUGCCCGACUGUCCGAAUGCCUGAAUGUCCAUCUUCCCUCCAGCUCCAAGUGACUGAUCCUUCUUCACUCCAAGCCCAGAAAAUGGAAACAUCUGCACAUCCAACAAGCACAUCAAACCAUGGAAAGGACCAGAUCCAGAUGCAGAUGGAGCAGAUAUGCAUCCAGGACCAAGCAUGACACACCAUGUGGCCCAGGACCAGGAAGAGAAGCAAACACAUGACAUUGAUAACCUGCAAACCAGCCACACACAAUACACAUCUGGUGAGAUGCUCACUACACACUUGCCAAAGACUGCAAUUAUACCCCUCUUAGUAAUAUGCACUAUCAUUGCCCUGAUGGAUAGUUGUCAGGCUGAAAUCUAUUGGUCUAUUAAACCUAAACCCCCAGUAUUAAAGAUGUUAACUUGG